CAAAUUCCUGUGAUUCUGUGUAGUACUUUUUCCUCAGUUAAAAGUGUCAUGUUGCUGUUCUGUAAUAAUGACAUUUGAUUUGUUUCUCAGUAGCUUCUGAUUUUUCUGAUUCUUCUUGUCCUUGGCACAGUGGCCGGCUGGCUUCUUUCUCCCCUGGAGUUCUGACAGUGUCGGCUGUUGAAAAACAGAGAUUCCAUCAUGAGUGCUAGACUCAUCUAGUCCGGGAACAAGAACAAUAUUGUGAGGCCAAUCUCCACUCCACAGCACAGCUUCAAGAAGGAAGCAUGAAACCUUCUGGGGAUGUAUCUUAGCUUGUUCCCCGUGAGAUGAAAGCAAUCCUUUAAAAAUAUCAGAUACUAUGACUGUUGUUUAUUUUUGUUGGUUUGUUUUUUACA